rnacentral:rRNA from 1 species
AUACGGAGGGUGCAAGCGUUGUUCGGAAUUAUUGGGCGUAAAGGGCGUGUAGGUGGCUUGCCAAGUCUGGUGUGAAAUCCCACGGCUCAACCGUGGAACUGCAUUGGAAACUGGUAAGCUCGAGUAUUGGAGGGGGUCGCGGAAUUCCCGGUGUAGAGGUGAAAUUCGUAGAUAUCGGGAGGAACACCAGUGGCGAAGGCGGCGACCUGGCCAUUUACUGACACUGAGACGCGAAAGCGUGGGGAGC